GCCGAUUGAAAGAUCCUGUCAAGACUGCCGCACCGAUGUUACAUUCCAUUGAGUUAUCAUUUAUGUUGUUUUAACAUAAUGAAGACAAAUGUAGAUUAACAUGCUAGUUACAAAAUUGCGUACAGGUCAAAAAAGCUUGGGAUGUGCUUGGUUUGGAUUUGAUUGGACCACUACCAGAAACAGCAUGCAACAACAGAUAUGUCCUCACCUUGACAGAUAUCUACACAUAGUGGUUGAUUGCUGAACUACUGCAAACUGAGACAGCAACCGAGGUGUCUGCAAUAAUAACUUCUAAGUUAUAUGUGUUUGGCAUGGUGAGGACAAUGAUCUCAGACCAAGAGAAGGAGGUCAUCAAUGAGCUCAAUGCAAGAUUUUCAAUGUGCUGAACAUCAAACCUGUGGUGUUCAGCACAUCCCAUCUCCAGACCAGUGGAAAGGAUACAAGGACGGAACAGGUCAUCAAACAGGCUCUCCGAAAUCAUGUGAAUGACAACCAUCAUGACUGGGAUCUCAAACUUCCUGCUGUGGUGUAUGGAAUUAACACUGCAAAGCAGGACUCAACCAGGGACAGUCUCUACUUUCUCCUCUUCCAUCGACAUCUGCAUUGACCAGAGAUGUUGAAUGCUUGUCCCAUGAGAGAUGACUUUGAAGUUGCUCAACA